UGUGUUGUACUUUAAUUUAUAAAAGGUUUGAUUUGCAGUCAAAUAAUGGUCUUCCAACGCAG
rnacentral:tRNA from 1 species